rnacentral:rRNA from 1 species
GGGUGCGAUCAUACCAGCAAUAAUGCACCGGGAUCCCAUCAGAACUCCGAAGUUAAGCUUGCUUUGGCGAGAGCAGUACUAGGAUGGGUGACCUCCUGGGAAGUCCUCGUGUUGCAUCCCC